rnacentral:misc_RNA from 1 species
AUGUCUGUCGACGAUGCGCCCAUCGCCGCUGUCAAGCUUCCGUCUCCCUCUCACGGCACCGCUUCUUCCGACGUCGGUCCUACCGACGGAGCAUUGGACUCGCUUGGAACAGUGCGGGAGGGUAUGAGGGCGAGGAGAUGAUGACGGGCGGACGGAGCUGUGGCAGCAGCCGACGUCAAGGCGCCCGCUCCUCCCUCCGCCUCGACGAAUACUCCCGCUUCGGCUCAGUCCGCUGCAGCGUCUGUGUCACCCUCGUCUGCGCCGUCUGCGCCGGUUCUCAGGUCGAACGGAGAAGGAUCGGAGGCGAUUCCGCCGAACAAGAAAGUCGACCCGACUGCGCUCGUCUCGCCCGCCGCCUCAACUACCGGCACCAUCAGCCUCGAGUCGCCGCCCUUGUAGUCACCGGCUGCAGCGUCUCCCUCGGUGAAGCCGAAGGGAACGGCUUGCGAGGCGGCUUCGCACGUUGGAGACGACUUGACCGUCUCUGCUUCGCCCGCUCCGUCCGGCUCGCAACCGCUCGACAUUGCCCCGCCCUCACUCAAGUUGCAGUCUUCGGCGCUCACAAACCAGGACCAGGGACAGGCGCCGUCCUCCAGCGGCAGCCUCGACCAGAACUCCGCCGCUUUGCCUCUCUCCUUCGGCUCUCCCCCUGCUUCCUCGCCCGCGUCUCGCUCUCCCACUCCUAUCACGCCCACACCCUUGUCGAAGCGCAAAGGGAAAGAGCCCGAACAGGUUGCGGAGGAUCACGACAGCGACAGCGACUCCGCCGCCUCGACUUCCGCUCUUCACGCCUCUUUGCCCUCUCGCUCGCCGACGCCUACCCCGCCGCCUCGCCCAGCCAAGGGAAAGGGCAAGGCGCCCGUCGACGAGUCCGACGAGUCCGACAAGUCCGACGAGCAAGCGCCGGUUCCGGUGCGCCGCUCUCCGCGUCGCUCGUCGCGUCGCACGCCCAUCUCGCCGGCGAGCAUCACGAGGAGCGACGAUGAGUCAAUUUCGUCAUCGGAUGACGAGCCGCAGUUCUCGGGCGAGGACAAGGAGGUCCAGACGCCGCCUUCUUCGCCGGCGUCGCGUUCGAGGGACAGCUCAGCGUAUCAGGUCCCGCACACGCGCUGGACUGAUGCGGAGGAGACGGUGUUGCGGAUCAGCCGUACGAGCAAGCCGAAGAAGUCAUACGCCGACAUUCCGAAGAGGGUCGGAGCACACUGCGAUAGCUUACAAGGUCCAUUGGAACAGACUGAAGAAGACAGUCGCCGGUACGGUGGAACGCAGGCCUGCUUCGGAUGUCAUGGUCGACGCUGUCGGCAAGAAGGAGCGCGAGGAGCUGUACCUUGCGGGCAUGACAGGGUGGCCUCGCUGAGUUUGGAUUGCUUCCGCUUC